UACGUAGGGUGCAAGCGUUAAUCGGAAUUACUGGGCGUAAAGCGUGCGCAGGCGGUGAUGUAAGACAGUUGUGAAAUCCCCGGGCUCAACCCGGGAACUGCGUCCGAUACUGGAAGGCUUGAAUCCGGGAGAGGGAUGUGGAAUUCCAGGUGUAGCGGUGAAAUGCGUAGAUAUCUGGAGGAACACCGGUGGCGAAGGCGACAUCCUGGACCGGUAUUGACGCUGAGGCGCGAAAGCCAGGGGAGCAAACGGG
rnacentral:rRNA from 1 species